UUGGUCAAUUGGCGAAAGCCAGAACCAGUCAUGCCGCGUGCAGGAUGAAGGCCCUACGGGUCGUAAACUGCUUUUAUUCGGGAAGAAAAAGUCUGUUUCCACAGACCUUGACGGUACCGAUUGAAUAAGGACCGGCCAACUCCGUGCCAGCAGCCGCGGUAAUACGGAGGGUCCAAGCGUUAUCCGGAUUCACUGGGUUUAAAGGGUGCGCAGGCGGCCAAGUAAGUCAGUGGUGAAAGCCUUCGGCUCAACCGGAGAAUUGCCAUUGAAACUACUUGGCUUGAGUGCAGCAGAGGUAGGCGGAAUGUAGCAUGUAGCGGUGAAAUGCAUAGAUAUGCUACAGAACACCGAUAGCGAAAGCAGCUUACCACACUGUAACUGACGCUGAGGCACGAAAGCAUGGGU
rnacentral:rRNA from 1 species